ACGCUGGCGGCAAGCCUCAUACAUGCAAGUCGAACGAGAAAGUAUCUUCGGAUACAAGUAAAGUGGCGGACGGGUGAGUAAUACAUAGGAAUCUACCCAGUGGAGGGGGAUAGCUCGAGGAAACUCGAAUUAAUACCGCAUAAUCUCUACGGAGUAAAGAGGGCUUCGGCUCUCACCAUUGGAUGAGCCUAUGCAAGAUUAGCUUGUUGGUGAGGUAAUGGCUCACCAAGGCUACGAUCUUUAGCUGGUUUGAGAGGACGACCAGCCACAUCGGGACUGAGACACGGCCCGGACUUCUACGGAAGGCAGCAGUAGGGAAUAUUGGACAAUGAGCGAAAGCUUGAUCCAGCUAUGCCGCGUGUGCGAUGACGGCCUUAGGGUUGUAAAGCACUUUAGGUAACGAGGAAAAGUUAGGUGUUAAUACCACUUAACCAUGACGUUAAUUACAGAAUAAGCACCGGCUAAA
rnacentral:rRNA from 1 species